rnacentral:rRNA from 1 species
UACGUAGGGGGCUAGCGUUGUCCGGAUUUAUUAGGCGUAAAGAGCGUGUAGGCGGCCAUGUAGGUCCGGUGUGAAAACUCGAGGCUUAACCUCGAGAUGUCAUCGGAAACCAUUUGGCUAGAGUCCGGAAGAGGAGAGUGGAAUUCCUGGUGUAGCGGUGAAAUGCGCAGAUAUCAGGAAGAACACCAAUGGCGAAAGCAGCUCUCUGGGACGGUACUGACGCUGAGACGCGAAAGCGUGGGGAGCGAACAGG